GCGCUCGCUUCUGCAGCACAUAUACUAAAACUGGAAUGAUACAGAGAAGAUUAGCAUGGCCCCUGCACAAGGAUGACAUGCAAAUUCAUGAACCAUUCCAUGUUUGG